rnacentral:rRNA from 1 species
UACAGAGGGGGCAAGCGUUGUUCGGAAUUACUGGGCGUAAAGGGCGCGUAGGCGGCCUUCUAAGUCGAACGUGAAAUCCCCGGGCUCAACCCGGGAACUGCGUCCGAUACUGGGAGGCUUGAAUUCGGGAGAGGGAUGCAGAAUUCCAGGUGUAGCGGUGAAAUGCGUAGAUAUCUGGAGGAAUACCGGUGGCGAAGGCGGCAUCCUGGACCGACAUUGACGCUGAUGAGCGAAAGCUAGGGGAGCAAACGGG